UCUACCGAUGGUGGAAGCGUUGUUUAUGGUUCUCUUCGGUCCGGUCUCGGCAAAGCUGCAUGGAUGGGAUAUCAAUCUAUUGGAGUAGCGUUUUCGGGUAAGCCGCAUUCUACCGAGUGUGGUCUCAUGGUAUAUCAAAGGUAUCCGGCCCAUUUGGCAAUGUUGUUCUCGGCCAAGCUUGUCCUUCCGUUAAAUUAGGCUAGUUUAUCUUGUAUUGUUGUAGUGGUCAUUGGAGCUUCGGGUGUCGUUUGUGCUUAGAUUUUCGGUCUUAUCCGCUACUAGUUAUCUUUGUAACUUUGGUAUAAAAUUUAACUUUACACCAACAAAAAAAAACAUUGAUGAAUGUACAAAACAACAAUAAUAAAAAAAUCACUAAUUUAGUUUGUAAGACUCUAGUUUUAGUUAAUUCAGACCCCACUGGCGUUUUAUUUAUAUAAUAGUAAUUGUUAGGGCUUUAAGAAAUUACUCAAUUAGACGCUAAUUAUAAUUGUGGAAG
rnacentral:lncRNA from 1 species